rnacentral:rRNA from 1 species
CAGGAUGAACGCUAGCGACAGGCUUAACACAUGCAAGUCGAGGGGCAGCACGGGAGUAGCAAUACGAACUGGUGGCGACCGGCGCACGGGUGAGUAACGCGUAUGCAACCUACCUAUCAGAGGGGAAUAACCCGGCGAAAGUCGGACUAAUACCGCAUAAAACAGGGGCACCGCAUGGUGAUAUUUGUUAAAGAAAUUCGCUGAUAGAUGGGCAUGCGUUCCAUUAGGUAGUUGGUGAGGUAACGGCUCACCAAGCCGACGAUGGAUAGGGGAACUGAGAGGUUGGUCCCCCACACUGGUACUGAGACACGGACCAGACUCCUACGGGAGGCAGCAGUGAGGAAUAUUGGUCAAUGGGCGAGAGCCUGAACCAGCCAAGUCGCGUGAAAGGAAGAAGGAUCUAUGGUUCGUAAACUUCUUUUGCAGGGGAAUAAAGUGCGGGACGUGUCCUGUUUUGUAUGUACCCUGAGAAUAAGGAUCGGCUAACUCCGUGCCAGCAGCUGC